ACCCGCUGAACUUAAGCAUAUCAAUAAGCGGAGGAAAAGAAACUAACAAGGAUUGCCCUAGUAACGGCGAGUGAAGCGGCAACAGCUCAAAUUUGAAAUCUGGCGUCUUUGGCGUCCGAGUUGUAAUUUGCAGAGGGCGCUUUGGCAUUGGCAGCGGUCCAAGUUCCUUGGAACAGGACGUCACAGAGGGUGAGAAUCCCGUACGUGGUCGCUAGCCUUUACCGUGUAAAGCCCCUUCGACGAGUCGAGUUGUUUGGGAAUGCAGCUCUAAAUGGGAGGUAAAUUUCUUCUAAAGCUAAAUACUGGCCAGAGACCGAUAGCGCACAAGUAGAGUGAUCGAAAGAUGAAAAGCACUUUGGAAAGAGAGUUAAAAAGCACGUGAAAUUGUUGAAAGGGAAGCGCUUGCAGCCAGACUUGCCUGUAGUUGCUCAUCCGGGUUUUUACCCGGUGCACUCUUCUAUAGGCAGGCCAGCAUCAGUUUGGGCGGUUGGAUAAAGGUCUCUGUCAUGUACCUCUCUUCGGGGAGAACUUAUAGGGGAGACGACAUGCAACCAGCCCGGACUGAGGUCCGCGCAUCUGCUAGGAUGCUGGCGUAAUGGCUGU
rnacentral:rRNA from 1 species